rnacentral:tRNA from 1 species
UGAGGUGUAGCUCAGCGGUAGAGCGCUUGCCUAGAGUGCACAAAGUGAGGCCCUGGGUUCCAUCCCCAGCACCAAAA